UACGUAGGGGGCAAGCGUUGUCCGGAUUUAUUGGGCGUAAAGAGCGUGUAGGCGGCCGUGCAAGUCUGGCGUGAAAGCCCCGGGCUCAGCCCGGGAAGUGCGCUCGAAACUGCGCGGCUCGAGUGCCGGAGGGGAGAGUGGAAUUCCUGGUGUAGCGGUGAAAUGCGUAGAUAUCAGGAGGAAUACCGGUGGCGAAAGCGACUCUCUGGACGGCAACUGACGCUGAGGCACGAAAGCGUGGGGAGCAAACAGG
rnacentral:rRNA from 1 species